rnacentral:rRNA from 1 species
CGCGUAGAAAUCUGCCUAGUAGUGGGGGACAACCUGGUGAAAACCAGGCUAAUACCGCAUACGUCCUACGGGAGAAAGCGGGGGAUCUUCGGACCUCGCGCUAUUAGAUGAGUCUGCGUAAGAUUAGCUUGUUGGUGGGGUAAAAGCCUACCAAGGCGACGAUCUUUAGCUGGUCUGAGAGGACGAUCAGCCACACUGGAACUGAGACACGGUCCAGACUCCUACGGGAGGCAGCAGUGGGGAAUAUUGCACAAUGGGCGAAAGCCUGAUGCAGCCAUGCCGCGUGUGUGAAGAAGGCCC